rnacentral:rRNA from 1 species
UACGGGGGGAGCAAGCGUUGUUCGGAUUUACUGGGCGUAAAGGGCGCGUAGGCGGCGUGACAAGUCACUUGUGAAAUCUCCGGGCUUAACUCGGAACGGUCAAGUGAUACUGUCGUGCUAGAGUACAGAAGGGGCAACUGGAAUUCUCGGUGUAGCGGUGAAAUGCGUAGAUAUCGAGAGGAACACCUGCGGCGAAGGCGGGUUGCUGGGCUGAUACUGACGCUGAGGCGCGAAAGCUAGGGGGGAGCGAACGGG